rnacentral:sRNA from 1 species
AUUCUGCCCAUACAGGGAAGGAUGAGAAGCUUCGACUAAGGUUCGAUUCGAGCGCCAGCGAGAAAGCGUUGCCGCAGGCAACGACCCGAAGCGUGUAGCGCUAAGUCAUCCUCCCUCAUUUCCCC